rnacentral:lncRNA from 1 species
UUUUUUAUUAGAUUUAAAUAAUAGUUUAAGUUGAUUUCAACGUGAUUUGAAAUGAUGAUUUUAUAUGUUUAUUUUUAGGAACUUUAAUUUCAUGACAUUCCUAUUUUACGAAAUUUCAUAAAAAAAUCAAUGUAAUUUUUUAAGGAUUAGGAGUUUGAAGAUAAAUUGUAAUGAUGUGAAAAAUCCUUGGUACGCGAUGCUCACCAUUCAACCACUCUCCAAUUGAUCCAAGGUAUGAAGCGAUAUUAUUCUUUUAGCAUGAUUAUGAAUUUUCUUGCUUCAUGUUAUGGAAUAUCAUAACUAUGUUAAGGUCAAGUAUCUAGACUUUUCACUAAUUAAAUGUCUGUUUGGAAAUGAUUUUGAGAAUUAAUUUUUUGACCAUUAAGAGAAAAGUGGGGUCCACCUGUGAGAGAAGAAGUCAAAUAUGACGAUUGAAAUAGUAAAAUGACGGUAAAAAAAUCAAUUUUUUGAGAGGAAAAAUCACUCCCAAAUAGGCUGUAAGUCAUUUUCGAGGACGAAAUUCUUUUAAAGAGGGGAGAUUAUAAAGCACCGAAAAUUUUUAAAAAUAAAAUAUAUUUAUUAUAUAUGUUAUGUUUUUAUAUUUUGAGAGUUGAUGGACUAAAGUGAAAUAGUUUAAUUUUAAUUUUAUUUUGGCCUAAUAAAUAGAUUUUGAUAGAGAAAAAAUAAGUAUAGAUAUUGGACUUUUUUUGUAGCUCAUAAUUAAUUAGAAGUCUUCAAAACAAGAAAAAGUUACUUUGGUUUAGACUACAUCAAGUUGAGUCCGGUUAAAAGAAUAAUAUAUUAAUAGAGUUGAUGGGAGCUUGCAAUAUUAAUUAAAUAAGAUUCUUUUCCUCUUUUAAUUUCUACCGCAAGUGAUUUUUAUUUGAUAUAAAACCAAUAGUAUAGUAGAAUUCAAAUGUCGCAUUUUGAAACUAAGUCCAACUUGGUCAAGUGUCCUAUUUUCAAAGGGAUGAUUGUACGAGGAAACUAAUAUUAAAAUAUUCUACCAACUCUACCAUUUGAAUCCGUGCUCAUUCAAUUUGUAGUGGUACACUGCUUUGUAUUACUAUUUCACUAACACUCAAUUUUUAAAUAUUUAUUUUCACUAUAAAUACCCAUGAAGUCAAAAUAAUUUUUCACCACAGAAUAUUUAUUCACAGACACGGUUAGAGAGAGCCAAGGUAGAGAGAAAGAAACAUAGGAAAAGGAUUUUCACGUCCAUUACUUUACAACCUUUCAAUAAAAGAGGUAAAAUACUUUUGUGCAAGUGAUUUAUUUCUAUAUACUUUUAUAUUCAAUCAAAUAUGUAUGAAUUACCCAGUGGACCUUCAAAUUCUUUAGAAAAAGAUAUGAAAUUCUUUGAGAAUUUAAGAGGGCCUAAGAUGGAUAUGUCACUUGGUCAAUGAUAUACUCCAUAAGAGAAGAGUGGUAUGAAGUGUAUAAUUUGUUGUUAUAUAAUUGUAUAUGAAAACUACAUGUAUCUUAAUAGAUAUUUAAACACAUAAUUUUACAAUAAUUUUGCAAGUUAGUUAGGGUCAAUUCAUAACAAGUUCAUAAGUAAUGAAAAUAAAAUUAUUUCUCACUUAUUCUAUGAUCAAUCGAUGUGUGUGCGCACAUAGUCAAUCUAAUUAUCAUGAGCUUUUAGGUUGGUUACUUUCCACCCUUAAUAAUCAAAUAUUUCAUUUUUCUCCCAUGGUUGAUGAGUUUGUUUCAUUCACGAAUUUGCACAAUUUUAGCUGAUUAUUUACUUGAUCUUGUGAGAAUAGAACAUUUUUGAUGUGUUUGUUAGUGUUGUUUUGAAGAUUAGGAAAGACGAUACAAAAAGAGGUACUAAAGUGGACAAAGAAGCCAAAAAUAAAGAAUUUGGGGGCAGAAAGGCAGCGCCUUGGCGCUGUACUCAUAGCUCCAGGUGCUACGAAAAUUGAAAAAAAAUGAAGAUUUGAGGUAGAGUGGUAGCACCUAGGUGCUGCAAUUUUAGUGCCCAGGCCCUACCAUCAAUGCUUAGGCAACUGAUGAGUAGCGCUUAGGUGCUACAGGGUAAUUGUCCGGGAUCGUUAGGGCACAUUUUUUACCCAUUUUAAAGUCCACAAAAACCCUACUUUCUGCACAAAUGGAAAGGCACCUAUAAAUACAAAUUUCUCACACUUUUGAAGGAGAUUUUUCGAGAAGCAAGAGAACAUAAUUGGAGAAUAAUAAAAAUAAAUAAAAAGUCAAGCAAUUGAAGGUUUAAUGCAUUUAUUGGAAGAUGAAGGAUGUCUUGGUGCAAAAAUUCUACUUUUUCUUCUACAUCUUUACUACAAAUCUGGUGAUGUAUUAUAAUACAAUUGAUUGUUUUUCUUCUUUCAUUAUGAAUAGUUAAAUUUAUUGUUAUGACAAAUAAUGUAACCAAUUGAGAUC